rnacentral:rRNA from 1 species
GCUUAUACUCGACCGUCAGCGGCACGUGCGAUCGCGCGAGCUUUCGCGAGCGAGCGCGGUCACGAAGCCCUGACGAGUAGGAGGGUCGCGGCGGUGAGCGCAGAAGGGCUGGCCGCGAGGCCGUCUGGAGCCGCCGUCGGUGCAGAUCUUGGUGGUAGUAGCAAAUACUCCAGCGAGGCCCUGGAGGACUGACGUGGAGAAGGGUUUCGUGUGAACAGCCGUUGCACACGAGUCAGUCGAUCCUAAGCCCUAGGCGAAAGCCGAUGUCGAUGCGGUGUAGUUUUUACGAUAAUCGAUCAUCAUCAAUACUACUAUGACGACGACGACGACGGCGGCGACGAAAU